GUUGGGACAUGCCUUGACUUGUACUGGCUUGCUUGCUUGCUUGAGAGAGAGAGAGAGAGAGAGAGAGAGAGAGAGAGAGAGAGAGAGAGAGAGAGAGAGAGAGAGAGAGAGGCCUGUGGUCAAUAACUUCAUCAUGCUAGUGUGAUCUGACCCGAACAGGGAGAACCCAGCAACAUGAGAGUCACAACAUAACGAUGGACUCAUUGGAAGCACUGGCGUUUGAAACAUGUUCUGCUGCAUACCAUACCCUCCAGUCCUGAAAACACAAAGAAUCCCACUGCUUCUAAACUGCUCUGAAACUUUGCCUGUGUCCUCAGAUCCAGCCUUGUUUCAGUUACCUGAGGAAUUUGUAUUGGAAAUGUAGAAACACUGGCACAUAACCAGCAGCCUGACAGAGAUGACGACAGAUCUGACACAGCGGAGAUCUGCUGUCCCUGGCAUAGGACUACAAAACCCUGGCAUAGGACUACAACCCCAAAACAAAAAAGAGUGUCAGACUGCUAGACAAAGGAUCUGAAGGACACAAAUGAAUCCCCUUCCUCUCACUUACAUUCCGAAUCCCUCACAUCAGGUGAAACCUGACCGUAACGUCUGUCUAUGACGAACAGGCCUCAGAGACUCCCUGCUGGUUGCGUGGCAGAGAGACGGCCUGGCUUGAAGGAGGGGAGACAGGAGGAGAUGCUGUUAGAUGUGGCUACUGUGAGUGGUUCUCUGGCAGUGUCUUAGCUGGUUGUUGUGAGGAGUGAGAACGAAGCAAUCAGCAAGUAUACUGCCGCAGAAACUCUUCGCACUGAGAGGCCGCCGGCUCUCAUUGUUCAUCACUCAGAGAGGGAGAAACAGGAAGCGGAGAAAAGAGGAGAGUGGUACGUAUUUUCCAGUGAUCCUAAACAGAUUUUAAAGCGUCUGGUGAUUACGUCUAUGGAAUUCAUGAGUGUUUUUCCGAUUCUCAUAGCUCGGUAGACUGAGACUAUUUUUUUUCCAAAUGAUGACAUUUGGUUGGUGUACGUUUGUCAUGCUAAUAUGUAAACAUGUAUUGUUUACGUCAUGCUGUUUGUGAACCAAAUGAUCAUGUAUUUCUAAAUGUUCUGCAUUUCAAAUUUCAAACUCAUUGUCUCAAAUUACUGACAUUUGGGUUUUGAAAGGUUCACAAUUCACUAGUGCCAUCUUGUGUCGAGAGAUUGGGCAUGGUGGUCAAACUACGUAGGCAAUUAUAUCUGGGCACUGUUACAGCACUUGCUGGAAACAUAAAUGUGACACAAAAAGUCAAACAACCUGAUGUUGACAUAUUUUUCUAUACUACUGAUACUUGAUCAACAUUUACAAUUUCUACAAUAAGGUACACUCACAAACUGUAUCUAUAAUAAUAAUAAUAAUAAUCAGCAGCCAAUCAUUUCAAUUGCAUUGCUAAAUGUGAUAAAUGGUAUUGUUGUUAACACUAUCCUAUGUGAUUGUAUUAUUUAAUUGUGCUGUUUAAGACUUAAAUGUGAUUGUCAACUAUAUUUUUCUUGCUUGUCAUUGUAAAAUAAAAAUAUUGAAUUGGCUAUUCCU